GGGAGGCUGCGCAAGGCUAAAGAGGAAGCCCGGGCAGCGAGCGCGAUCCAUCCCGCUCGCUGCCCGGGCUUCCUCUUUAGCUUUGCGCGCCUCUC